ACAGAUUACAUAAAACUUUUUUAUAUGUUUUCAUGCACAGCUCUACACAAUAAUGUGUUAGCAUUCGGUCACAUGUAUAUAAGCACAAACAUAUAGAUUCAUGCAUAUGUACAUAGAUAUAGAUAUAUACAUAGAUAUAUACAUAAACAAGCAACUCACAUGUGGGGUACCUCUAUAGUAGCUAAUUGGCAAGCAAAUGUUUUGGUUACCAAAUUUCAUAGCAAGUUGUGGUAUAAAAUUUGAUACGAUGUCACUUGAGUGUUUCGCCGCAAUUCUAUACGUCAAUGUAGAUCACAAAAUUGUGACUGUAAACAAAAAUGGGCCUUUCACUUCUUUGUCGCAUACAAAGCAGACGCAAAGUUAUCACUUCGUGUACAAACGAAUUUCGUGUAUCGCUCACCAGCUUUAAACCAAUACUGAUUAAGCUCGAGGCCAAGCAUGCGGAUUUCAGUCACAUUUUCGGCUCUUUGAGUUGCCUAACUGGUUUGGAGAAAUUUUUAACGACUGAAGAGCGUUGGUUGACUGAAUAUGCUCAAAGAAACGGGUUUAUGUUUUAUGUUGUCUUGAUCUUCACCUAUGCAAGUUGUAAGGCGCAUUGUGCGGAGUAUGUUGAGAGUGGUCAUGGUUCAGAUCCCAAGGAAUCAUAACUCUAUGUUUAUACCCUGUUUUUCCGUUUCCAGAAGUGGUAAGCUUAAGUAACACUUUACAUUCGUUUCUGACACAUUUGGCAGUAAGUUUCGCUUAAAAUGACAUAGCUAGUGCGGCGUGUCCACUAAAUCUUAUGUAAUUCAAAUGCACAGCACAUAAUACCAGAAGUGCCAGAAACUUGUGUAAUAACGGUAUUUUCGAAUGAACUGGCUCAUUUGGUUCUUAAAACUUUUGGCAUUACUUUUACAUUUAUAGCGAGAAAGACAAGAUUGGACAUGCCGAAGCUAUAAUACCCUUGUAAAUAUAUGAGUUUACUGAAGCUCGUAAAUGCUACGAUUGCCAUUCAAGAAAAUCUAAAAAUCUAAGAGCCUAUGCCUAAGAAGAAGGGUGUUAGCAGAGAAAAAAGUUUUCUUAAGUAAAAAUUAAAUAAAGUUAAGAAAUUUGUACUAGAUUAAAUAGUUAGGAUAAAGAGACAGUAAUGGGAAAUUACCGUACAGGUGGGGAAAAAUUUACAGCCUGUCCGGCAAGCUAUGCCUCUCUUGGUCAGUGAGUUCCCGAAAAUAAUUGUGCAUAGCGUAAUCUUUUGUGCACGUAGGUAGAGGCCAUAAUUCCUGGUAGGUCUAGAAGGAACAGGGAAUUGAAGACGCCCUAACAGAAAAGAGAAAUCUACAUUGCCAACAAUCAACUUAACAACUUAGACAACACCGAGGAUUGGCUCACCGGUACAGUUAAACCAAUAUUUAAAGAAUAAAAAAAAGCCAUGAUACAUAACUAAUGGAUCCAUGAUCAUCAAUGAAUGCCCAGUGAGAUUCAGCACUAACGAGCGAGAUAACAACCAACGGCACACAUCGCGUCAUCUUUUUAGCACAGGGUCUUCAUCGUCGAUAGAUAGCCGAGGACGGUAAUAAUUCUAAGACGGGAGUAGUUAGCAAGAAAUACUCGCCUGAAACUCAAAUACUUCAGUUCAGUUGUCGACCCAAAGCGACAGCGAGUACAUUGAAUCUUUUUAGCGACAUUUAUCUCCUUCAAAAAUUCCAGAUUGAAGUCAGAAAGUAAAUUGUGGUCAUUAUUAGUGUUCAGACCCUUCAGCUGGUAAGGCACAUGAAUGAAAGUUUUGCCCAACCUCCUCUGCAGAUCGCUCCACGAAGAAUUAUCGUUGUGAUUCGAGCGACAAAACUUUUGUAAACGGAUAUUAGAUGCGGUUCUUUGAUGCCCGAUGUCUUGCAAAUGGGAAUGAUGGGACUUAUCUCCGAAGGCCGAGUUGGUUAUUAGACUGUUGCUAUUGCCUGAAGUCUUGUACAAAUGUAUUUACUCUUAGCCGAAAUUGUUAAAGUAGUUGUGUUCUUGUUCUUUUUUAGUUCUACA